UAAGUUUUAGUUUUGGCAAAGUUCAACUUACCUAUUGCUUCUUUGUUAGGGUGCUUUUGGUGUUACUAUCCAAAAUGCUGUUGACUGACUCGUUACAAUGGUAUGCAUUUAUAGAGAUCCAGAGGACAGAGAAGUGAAAGGGAGAGGUUUAUGAUGAAAAUAACAUAAAAUAUUCUAGAACUGAAGAAUGUGAGGCUCCAAUAUGAAAGGUUCUACCAAGUGUCUUGGAGAAUGACUGGGCAAAGACUUAAGAUGCAUCACUUUGGAAUUAUAGGACAUAGAGUACGGCACAUUCUAAAAUUGCACAGAGAAAAGCAGAUGGAGGAAAGGAGUGAUGAGAACAAGAGCAUCAUAUCCUGAAGGCGAUAGAACCAGCCCAUCGGAUUUCGAGUAAAAAUUAUUUGUCAACCCCAAAACUCAACAUCCAUUCAGAUUCUCAGAAGAUCUGAGAGCACUUUCAGGAGACGGCUUGGGGAGGAGAUUAACUCUCUCUUUUUCUUCUGAUACUAAGGGUUUGAACCCAGAGCCUCUGCACUGUGGCAUUUUGAUGGGUUCUUGCUCCAUUGCCUAGGCUAAGCUCCAGCUUUGAUCCUUUUUGCCUAGCCUCCCAGAGGGCUUGGAUUAGCAGCAUGCACCACCUCCCUGCCAAGUGGCCAUUUCUUAAUCGGACUGCCCUCCUCCCGUGGGGGCCCAUACAGGCCAGCACGCAGGAAAACGAAGUUGAGUGGAAUGGCAUUGAGCCUGCUUUCUGGCAGCAGGCUCGCUCUCAUCCGAGAGCCGCUCAUUCUUCCCACGUGUCCAGCCUGGUGGAUCUGUGCUGUAGCUUGCACUGCUGGAGUCCUGGGAGACUGGCCAGGUGCCAGGGCCGUGUACUCUCCGCUUGAGGAAGCCAGAGGAAUGCCUGCAGCGGUUGAGCACAUUCCCAUGGAGUGUGCAAACAGUGAUGAAAUCACUGCAGCUUCCUGGAGGUGGGGGAGACGCUGUGACCUCAAGCUCAACAAGAAGGUGCUGAGGGAUACAGGAACAGAAACAGAUUUUUCAGAAAGCAGAGUCCUUGGGACUAACACUUUAUAGGGGUCUGGCCUUGGGCGACCUGUGGCUCUUCCUCAAGGUCAGAAUCACCAUGCAAUGGAGGCCUUUUGAACUGAUGCAGGACAUGGAGUCCCCCGCCACAGAACAGUUAAUGACACUUAGGAGAACUGCUUCAGAAGGUGGCAAGAAUGAUGGAUGGGGUUUGAAGCAAGGAGCACUUGGAGGGGAUUAAUGGCAGUGCGUCUUGCACUGUGACACGUUUUUAAAAGAAUCUGAACAAGAAGCCGGGGAUUUAGCCCUGUGGCCUCAGCGCCGCCUGGAAAGCACAAGGCUGUGAGUUUGGUCCCCGAAGAAUUUGAACGUCCGCCGCGUGUUUUGAUUACUCCUGGUGUAUGUUUGUCAAGUUGAUUCCUCUGGGUUUUUUGUUUGAGUGAUUACAAAGGACAUUUUAUUUUGAAUCUUAAUGACUGCAUGUCCAUUGUUAGUACACAGAAAUAGAACUGAUUUUCUCAUUUAUUUUGUAUCCUGUGACUUACAGGACCCACUUAUGUGUUCUAGGUGGUUUUUAUUUUAUUUUCUUCCUUGAGUGUGUGUGCCACUGCCUUACCUUUCUGCCUUUUUACUGUGGCUGGAUGGCCCAGCACUAUAUUGAAUAAGAGUGGUGAGAAUGCACAUCUUCGCCUUGAUCCAGAUUUUAGAACAAAAUAUUCAGUCUUCUCCCGCUAUGUAUAACGUUAGCUGUAGCUUUGUAGAUGUCUUUAUCAAGUUGAAAAAGUUCUUGUGUGUUCCUACUUUUCUGGGAGCUUGUUUGUCUGUAUGUUGCUUGGUUUAUCAUGAAUGGAUGUUAAUUUUGUAAAAUGUUUCUUCAGCAUUAACCACUAUGAUCAUGUGAUUUUUUCUUAUUUAACUUCAUAAGAUGGUGAAUUACACUGGUUACUUUUUUCAUUUUAAAGAAAAAGAAACACAGAAAAAUCAAGAAGCAAACACACAAGCAAACAAAUAACCCCCAACAACAACAACAACAGUAAAAUGACAAUGAUAAAAAACUAGCAAUACACGAUUUCAAACCAAGAUGACAGAAAUUUAACAGUGGUUGUUAUAUUGCAUGCUGUUAGCUUCAAAAUAGUUGCUCAGGUUACCAGAUACAGGCAUGCAAAACUGAUCAAAAACAAUAUAAUUUCUCUUUGAGUGUAAGAAUACACUGGUUAAUUUCUGAAUGCUGAGCCAGCCUCUCAUCUCUGAUACAAACUGAUUGGGCACGAUGUUCAAAUUUUUCUCAUUUAUUACUGAAUUUUAUUUGUAAAUAUUUUGUUAAAAGCUUUUUAUCUAUAUUUAUGAAAACUUCUGGCACUUAAUUUCUCUUUUUAUACUUCUUUUAAUUUGCUUUUUGUAUCUGAGUGAUGCUAGUUUCAGAAAAUGAAAUGUGAUACAUUUCUUCUAUUUUUUGAAAGAAAUUAUAUAUAAUUGAUAAGUCUUAAAACUAGUAAAAAAAAAGCCUAGUCCAGAAAUUUCAUUUUGGGAAGGUAUCUUACAAUUUCAAAUUCAAUUUAUUUCAUAGAUGUAGGGAUAUUCAAAUUACCUACUUCACACUGAGUAAAUUGUAUUUGUGGCAGUAUUUAAAAAAAAAUUUUUUUUAAGAAUUGGUUCAUGUUGUAGCUAGGGGUUGUGCAAAGAAUAAUUAGAAUCAGAACAUGGAUUUUAUAAUAUUAUUUUUAUAAUGGUCACUGGGAGUUAACACAAGAAAAUGCAGGAAAUCUAUCCACAACACCAAAAACAGAAUAUUUAGCCAAGGCCUAAAUCCCACAGUAACGUCCCAUAUGAGUCCAGAUGAAAACCCAGAGCUCAUGACAAUGCCUCCCACUGGUCCAACUGGAGGUCCAGAGCCCACAAAAAGGACUCAUGCCAGUCUCUUUACAGAUCUGUGCUGAGAAGGCCCAAAGGUCAGUGGUAGAAGCUGGAAAGUCCAUGCCAGUGGGGUGAAGGAGCUGUGCUAGUGGGAUGAGGAUUUCUACGCUGGAGCCGAGAAAUCACACUCACAACAAACACCAAGGCUGUCCUGAAAGGCACCACAGCCAUCAGGGACACGGAGGCCCUGAGCUCCUCCAACGACAAGCACAGUCGGGUACAUGCCAGCAAGUCAGUGUGACGAGUUCAUCCUGGAGACCAAGCGGCACAUGCCUUCCCCUCCGGAGCCAGGAAGCAAUGCUCGAUGUGAGGACCAAAGCUUCUCCAGGAGAACAACGGCUCAAACAGCAACAUGUAGGAGAACCCACAAUGCCUCCACACAACAAUGCAUUAACGCCUUCUUUCUCCUUCUCCACCUCUCUGUUUAUGCUGGCAACUUUCCUCAGUUGGAGCAUUUAUGCUCAGUGCCAUGCUGAUGUAAUCCAGCUGGCGUUAAAUUGACCACUAGUUCUUAAUCCAUAACAGUUCAUUUAAUCCAAAUUGUCUAAUUUAGGUGUUAAGCUGUUUGUAGAACUCCUUAUUAUCCUUUUGAUGUGUUUAGGCCUGUAAUGAUAGUGAUAUCUUCUAUUUUAUUCUAAAGUUGAUAAUUUAUGUGUUUUCUUUUUUCUUAGCCCUUUUUGCUAGAGAUUUACCAAUUUUACUCAUCUUUUCGAAGGACCAACUCUUUAUUUUCUUGAUUUUCUCUAUGCUUUCCUAUUUUCAUUUGCACUAAUUUCUGCUCUGAUUGUUGUUAUUUUUUCCCUUCUGUUUUGGGUUUAUUUUCUUCUUUUUCUUAUUAUUUUCUUCAUCAUGAGGGGAAGCUGAGCUUAUUGACUUGUUUUCUCUGUUCUAAGGUUCCACAAAUUUCCCUCUCAAUGCCACUUGAGCUCUUUCAUAACUUUGAGUAUUUUUAUUUUCAUUCUGUUUUCUGAUUUUUCUUUUUAAUUUUCUGAGAUUUUUUUCUUUGACUUGAUGAUGAUAAUGGUGGUAGUGGUGAUGACUGGGGUGUUGUGUAGUUUCCAAGUGGUUGGAAACGUCUCUUUUAUCUUUUUCAGAGAAAUUUGGAAAAUUGACUUUAUAAAAUUUCAACUCUUUUGGAAUUGUUGAGGUCUGUUUGGUAGCCCAGAAUAUGGUCUAGUCUGAUACAUGUUCCAUUAGCACUUGAAAACUAUCCUACAAUUAUUUUUCUGUUAUUGGGUGGGAUGUUCUAAACAUGUUGAUUAUAUACUUU